CCCUUAGAUGUCCUGGGCCGCACGCGCGUUACACUGAUGCAUUCAACGAGCUUAUAACCUUGGCCGAGAGGCCUGGGCAAUCUUGUUAACGUGCAUCGUGAUAGGGAUAGAUUAUUGAAAUUAUUAAUCUUGAACGAGGAAUUCCUAGUAAACGCAAGUCAUCAGCUUGCAUUGAUUACGUCCCUGCCCUUUGUACACACCGCCUGUCGCACAAACCGAUUGAAUGAUUCGGUGAAAAUUUUGGACAUCGAGAGUGGUGAUUAAUUUCGCUGCUCUUAAAUGGAAAGAAUUUAAACCUAAUUAUUUAGAGGAUUGUGAAGUCAUAACA
rnacentral:rRNA from 1 species